CUUCUCGUGGCGUAGCGGCAACGCGCCUGUCUAGUGAGUAGGAGUCGUGAGUUCGAAUCUCACCGAGAGGA
rnacentral:tRNA from 1 species